rnacentral:ncRNA from 1 species
AAUCGGCUGUGAAGAAAGUUGCAGCUUCCCAGGGAAAUCCUGGGUCGAUAACGAGGUGAAUUGCUGGAAACCCUCCCGCGAAAGCGAAGGGCAAUCAGCAGCCAAUCCUUCGCUAAAGCUUCGGAUUGCAGGCAAGCCCAACCUGAUGAAGGAAGGCACGCCUGCCGUAGCCGAAGCGAAGGCAGGUUCAGAGACUAUCCUUUAUGGAGUAGUCCCGUCCCGCAGAUGCAUGACGGGCCGAAGCGCCUCGCACCCUAAAACACAGACGGGUGAUGAUAUAGUCCACUCCUUCUGGAAACAGAAGG